GUACUAUAUGAAAGGAGAGAUGGUUAGCAUUCACCUUGAUAAAAAUGCAAGAGGGCCUAGAGGCUUUUAUAAUACACAUAUAGUUUAGGCAUUGCCAGCUACUCUGUGGCAUCUAACUAUGUUUUUUC